UUUGAUACACCAGUUCUCGUGCGAUCACCGAAGUUAAGUAAACGUUGAGACUGGUCAGUACCUGGAUGGGUGACCGCUUGAGAAUU